CCAGACAUAAAACAACCGCAUGCCUAUCUACAGUAGUCUUUCUCCUCCAACAUCCAACUUUAUUACCCCUCCAUUUUCCACUCUUUCUUCUUUUUAAGUUGUUCAAUUUUUCCAUCGAGAUCGAUCAGCAGCUCUUUUUGCUAAGCAAAUAAAGAGAGGAUGAGUGAUGCAAACGCCAAAGAUGCCAGCAGAGAUGUUGGAAGUUCUACAACUCCUGGAAGCAGGCAGGCAGCAGAUCAAGCCCCCAUAAGAGACAGACCUAUGAGGCAACCAAAGAGGGGACGCGUGUUGAAGAACAUUAUUGCUGAUAUUACUAAAAGCUUGUCUUCUAGCCUUCAAUCGCUUAGAUAGAGUCGCAUCUGUGGCCUUGUAUUAAUAUAUAUUAUAUAUUCUCAUGUGAGUGGAACGUCUCUUCUCUCAUCUUCUUCUUUGUCGAAGCUCCUGGAUGAAGUUCGAGAUAAAUAAGCCAUAGAUGAAGUUCCUGGAUAUGUUGCUCUGACUUGGGAAUUAGGAUUUAGCCUUAGAUAAGGGUUUGCAUCCGGAAUGAAAUGUUUAAUUUUUUAGAAGUUCUUUCUUUAUAUUUAGGGUCCGAACUUAAUAUCCAAUGUGCGAUUGGAAUCGGACACAGUACUUGAAGAAAAAGAGAGAGUAAGAGCGACAUAGGCUUGCAGAAGAUGUGGUUAAUUCUUGUAAAUCAAAGUGUUGUACUGCUAAUGCGAAUGUGCUUAUAGUUAAUUUAAUGUUAAUCUGAUCUGAUCUACUAAAAUUCGCC
rnacentral:lncRNA from 1 species